rnacentral:snRNA from 1 species
GUACUUACCCAGCAGGGGGUAGCCAGUGACCAAAGAGAUGGUUUUCCUAGGGCGAGGCUCCAACAUUAUACUUGGGGUUUGCUGACCCCCCGUGACCACUCCGAAUGCAGGACCUUACACUUUGUGAUAGAGAGAGUCUGCGAGUCUGCACUGUCCCUCA